rnacentral:rRNA from 1 species
CCUACGGGAGGCAGCAGUGAGGAAUAUUGGACAAUGGACGAGAGUCUGAACCAGCCAAGUAGCGUGAAGGAUGAAGGUCCUAUGGGUGGUAAACCUCUUUUAUAGGGGAAUAAAAUGUUCCACGUGUCGGAUGUUGUAUGUACCAUAUGAAAAAGGAUCGGCUAACCCCGUGCCAGCAGCCGCGGUAAUACGGAGGAUGCGAGGGUUAUCCGGAUUUAUUGGGUUUAAAGGGUGCGUAGGCGGAUUUUUAAGUCAGCGGUAAAAUGUCGGGGUUCAACCCGGGCCGGCCGUUGACACUGGGGAUCUUGAGUGGGCGAGAAGUAUGCGGAAUGCGUGGUGUAGCGGUGAAAUGCAUAGAUAUCGCGCAGAACUCCGAUUGCGAAGGCAGCAUACCGGCGCCAGACUGACGCUGAGGCACGAAAGCGUGGGGAUCGAACAGGAUUAGAUACCCGGGUAGUC